GGGGUGAUAUGUUUUGAGUUGAAAUUGAGUUGAAUGCCAUAGGUACCUUAGGUUUUUCUUUGUUAAGAAUCGUCAUGGUGUUCUUAUUAUGUUUUGAUUUCCAAAGGAAAUGCAAACGUUCUUUGUUGAGGGUGUUGAUAUGCCAAGGUUUCAUUGAACUUUCGAUGCUUAAAACUAGAAAAUAUGCAAGUACUUAGGUCCAUUUUGUUAGAUAUGAUGUCUUUUUGUGUUUAUGUGUAGAAAACUAGGUUUUUUGAGAUGAAGAGA
rnacentral:lncRNA from 1 species